UACGUAGGGUGCAAGCGUUGUCCGGAAUUACUGGGCGUAAAGGGCUCGUAGGCGGCCAACUAAGUCAGACGUGAAAUCCCCAGGCUCAACCUGGGAACUGCGUCUGAUACUGGAUGGCUUGAAUUCGGGAGAGGGAUGCAGAAUUCCAGGUGUAGCGGUGAAAUGCGUAGAUAUCUGGAGGAAUACCGGUGGCGAAGGCGGCAUCCUGGACCGACAUUGACGCUGAGGCGCGAAAGCUAGGGGAGCAAACGGG
rnacentral:rRNA from 1 species